rnacentral:rRNA from 1 species
AUUGAACGCUGGCGGCAGGCCUAACACAUGCAAGUCGAGCGGCGCGGCGGACGGGUGAGUGAUGCCUAGGUAUCUGCCUGGUAGUGGGGGAUAACGUCCGGUACCGGGCGCUAAUCCCGCUUCCUAUCAGAUGAGCCUAGGUCGGAUUAGCUUGUUGUUGGGGUAAAGGCCUACCAAGGCGACGAUCAGUAACUGGUCUGAGAGGAUGAUCAGCCACACUGGGACUGAGACACGGGCCAGACUCCUACGGGAGGCAGCAGUGGGGAAUAUUGGACAAUGGGCGAAAGCCUGAUGCAGCCAUGCCGCGUGUGUGAAGAAGGUCUUCGGGUUGUAAAGCACUUUAAGUUGGGAGGCGUUACCGACAGAAGAAGCACCGGCUAACUCCGUGCCAGCAGCCGCGGUAAUUC